rnacentral:misc_RNA from 1 species
CCUUAGCCCUGAUGGGAGGGAAAAGAUUUGGAAGGACAGCAGGAAAUAGC